rnacentral:lncRNA from 1 species
GGGUAUUCCAUGCUCGAGGGGCUUGCUUGAGUCCAUAAAGAGCUUUUUUCAAUUUAUAAACUUUAUUUAGUUGACCCUCUUGUAUGUAUCCAGGUGGUUGCUUUACAUAUAUGUCUUCUUCAAGAUAUCCAUUUAGAAAUGCUGUCUUAACAUCAAGCUGAUAAAUUUUCCAUCUGUGUUGUGCAGCUAAUGAAAUCAACAAUCGAAUUGUCUCCAUGCGUGCAACUGGUGCAAAUAUUUCUCCAUAAUCAAUUCCUGCUUUUUGAGAGUAACCUUGUGCAACCAACCUUGCUUUAUACCUCUGAAUUUCGCCUUCUGGAUUCUUUUUAAUUUUGUACACCCAUUUUACUCCAAUGGCCUUUUUUCCUUCAGGUAACUCAGUGAGUUUCCAUGUGUUGUUCUUCUCAAUAGAACUAAUUUCUUCAUCCAUUGCUUUCUGCCAUCUUUUAUCUGUUGAAGCUUUUUCAAAAGAAAGUGGUUCAUUGUCAGCUAAUAAACAAAGUAAUUCAUAUUGUUCACCUUGUUGUUCAGUAGCAUCAUAAAUAUCCCUCAAGCUUCUCAUCUUUCUUGGCCCUUCUUCAGAGGAUGAUUCUGAUGAAGAUGAUGAAUCUUCUGAUGUUGUGGGUGAGCUAGAUACAGCUGUUUGUGUGCCGCUUGCUCCACUAUUUGGUGGUUGAAAUUCUUCUUGCUCAAGAAUUAAACAAACUUGCUCAACGUCUUUAGCAUUCUCCCAAUUCCAAGCUUUAUCUUCUUCAAAGAUUACGUCUCGACUCAUGAUAAUAUCUUUUGUAAUGGGAUUGUAUAACUUGUAUCCCAUUAUCCUAUCACCAUAGCCAAUAAAAAUACAUUUCUGCCCUUUGUCAUCAAGUUUAGUUCUUCUUGCUUCUGGGAUCUUUACAUAAGCUAUACAUCCAAACACUCGAAGGUGAUUUGCACUAGGCUUAUAUGUGCUCCAAGCCUCUUCAGGUGUUACUCCACGAACAUUCUUGGUAGGACACCGAUUCAAUAAAUAUACUGUAGUUGAAAUUGCUUCAGCCCAAAAUCCUUUAGGUAAUUUCUUAUCUUUUAACAUACUUCUCGCCAUAUCGAGAAUUGUACGGUUCUUUCGUUCAGCUACGCCAUUCAAUUGGGGAGUAUAAGCUGGCGUGAACUGUUGUCUAAUGCCAUUCAAAUUACAAAAGCUUUUAAAUGCAUCAGAAGUAUAUUCUCCUCCCUGAUCUGACCGCAAUAGCUUUAUGUGAUAGCCACUUUGUUUUUCAACACUGGACUUGAAUUCUUUAAAUGCAUUCAAAGCAUCUGACUUUUUCUUGAGAAAGUAUACCCAUGUCUUUCUACAAUAGUCAUCAAUAAAUGUAAGAAAGUACCUAUUUUGUCCAUUUGAUAUUGGCUUCAACGGACCACAUAUAUCUGUAUGGACCAACUCCAGUGGCUUCUUUGCUCUCCAACUUGUCUCCCUUGCAAAAUUUGUUCUUGCAUGCUUUCCAAGAACACAACUUUCACAAACUUCAUUUGGAUGAUCAAUAUUUGGCAACCAUUCCAACAUCUUUUUCUUUGAUAGCAAUCUUAAUCCUUCAAAAUUUAAAUGUCCAAGUCUCAAGUGCCACAACCAAUUCUUAUCAUCUAUAAUGGCACUUAAACAUUUUGGUGAGUCAUAAGGAAUGUUUAAAGCAAACAUUCUAUUUUUAGACAUUCGUACUUGGGAUAUUGGAUAUCCACGAUCAUCUUUGAUUAUUAGGCGGGAGUCUUUUAGACUAAUGUCAUAUCCCUUUUCUAGGAGCUGUCCUAGACUUAAUAAAUUAUGCUUGAUAUCUGGCACAUAAUAAACAUCAGUGAUAUAACUAUGACCACCAUUAUUGAGCUUGAUUAAAAUGUUACCUCUUCCUUUUACUGGAACUUUAGAGAGGUCGCCAAAAGAGACAUGGCCAUGCAGGGUUUCAUCAAGCUCCAUGAACAUAUGCUUUUUCCCACACAUAUGAUUGCUUGCUCCUGUAUCUAAAAACCAUAUAUUUUCAUUAUCUGCUGUUGUAUGAUGAGCCAUCAAUAUUAGUGAUUUUGUCUCACUUGUAUCACCAAAGUUGGUAUUUUCGCCGACUUCAACUUCAGCAAUUUUUGCAUGACAGUCAUUGCUGUAAUGUCCAUACUUAUGACAGUUAUAACACUGCACGUUCCUUUUGUCACCAAUUUGAUGAUUAAUACCAUUUCUACGUCUUUCUUGUCCUCUAUUUUGUCCUCUACCUCGACCUCUAUAUUGUCCUCUUCCUCUUUGAUAAAAUUGUUGUUGAAUUUCAUGUCCACUGUUGAUGUUAAAUCUUCCUCCUCUUCCUCUAUUAUUGAAAGCUCGUCCUCUUUGAAAUUGGCUCCUUCCUCGACUUGCUCGUGAAUUUCUUUCAUCUCCUUUAUUUUCUUAAAGAGAAAGCUUUGAUUGCAAUGCUUGAUCAAGAGAUUUUGAUGAAGUUUUUUUAUUAAUCCGUUGUUCAUAGAUCUCUAGAGAAGCCAAUAGUUCAUCAAUAGUCAUAGUACUGAGGUCUUUGGAUUCCUCAAUUGCUAUGACUACAUUAUCAAACUUCGAAUUUAGAGAACGAAGGAUUUUUUCUAUUACCUGUAAAUCUUGGAUCUUUUCUCCAUUGCGCUUGAUAUUGUUCACUAUAGUGAGGACUCGAGUAAAAUACUCCGAGAUUGACUCGCUAUCAAGCAUCUCCAAUGUUUCAAAUUCGCUUUUCAGCAUUUGUAGGUGAAUUCUCAUUGUCUUUUCGAUACCUCGAAAUGAAUUUCGAAGUGCAUCCCUGCUUCUCUUGCGUUUGUAAUAGAAGCAAUCUUCUCAAAAUUUCCUUCAUCUACUGUCUGAUAUAUUAGAUACAGGGCCUUUUGAUCUUUCUUUCUUGCUUCCUUGAGUGUUGCCUUUUCAGCUGCACUUAAUACAUCUUCAUCAGCUUUAGACGUAGGUUCUGCAUAACCUUUCUCCACCAUAUCCCAUAGGUCUUAGGAUGCUAAGAGCACCUUCAUUUGUAUGCUCGAGUUCUCAUAAUUCUCCUUUGUCAGCCUUGGUAGCUGUGGCUGGAAAAAACUAGAUGAAGAGGCCAUAUCUAAUUGGAAACAAGGAUUUUAUCACUCUCUUUUAUUCUAAAUUGGCUCUGAUACCACUGAUGGGUAGAAGUUGUGAUAGAAUAUCACUUUUUCACUCAAAUAAACAAACUUUCAUAAAUCUUACAACAUAUAUUUCAUACAAUAGAGCUAUUUUCUCUCAACAGCUCUCUUAUACAAACCUUACAAUUUCUCUUCUACCCGAUAGUUUACAAUACAUGCCAACACACCUAUUUAUAGAAAAAACUAAGAAGUGUUCAAGAUGAUCAAGUAACUCCCUAACCUCCUUUAGUAGAAGAAG